rnacentral:rRNA from 1 species
UAUGACUCUCGGCAACGGAUAUCUCGGCUCUCGCAUCGAUGAAGAACGUAGCGAAAUACGAUACUUGGUGUGAAUUGCAGAAUCCCGUGAACCAUCGAGUUUUUGAACGCAAGUUGCGCCCAAAGCCAUUAGGCUAAGGGCACGUCUGCCUGGGCGUCACGC